AAUAACAACGUUGCCGCCGUCGUAGUAAAACUCAUAUGUUUUGAUUUUUGCUACGGGAUUAUAUGUCGAUCCCGGUGUUGUUUGUAGUCACUAUAUUGUAGUCACUAUAUGUACAAGUUCUUUGCAAUGGAUUGUGGAAAAUUGACUUAUGAUUGGAGGACCUUCCUAACUGUAAUUAGGUGCCUCCUUGCUGUAAGUUUCGGAUUUCUUCGCAGACAUCUUCAAAUUGUGGG
rnacentral:lncRNA from 1 species